GACGAACGCUGGCGGCGUGCUUAACACGUGCAAGUCGAACGGAAAGGCCCUGCUUUUGUGGGGUGCUCGAGUGGCGAACGGGUGAGUAACACGUGAGUAACCUGCCCUUGACUUUGGGAUAACUUCAGGAAACUGGGGCUAAUACCGGAUAGGAGCUCCUGCUGCAUGGUGGGGGUUGGAAAGUUUCGGCGGUUGGGGAUGGACUCGCGGCUUAUCAGCUUGUUGGUGGGGUAGUGGCUUACCAAGGCUUUGACGGGUAGCCGGCCUGAGAGGGUGACCGGCCACAUUGGGACUGAGAUACGGCCCAGACUCCUACGGGAGGCAGCAGUGGGGAAUAUUGCACAAUGGGCGGAAGCCUGAUGCAGCAACGCCGCGUGCGGGAUGACGGCCUUCGGGUUGUAAACCGCUUUCGCCUGUGACGAAGCGUGAGUGACGAUAAUGGGUAAAGAAGCACCGGCUAACUACGUG
rnacentral:rRNA from 1 species